CAGAAAUGUUGAAAGUGUGUUUUCUGCAGCACCAGUAAGGACCGUUCUCCUAUGAUGUAGUCGACCCUAUCAGAAAACAUUUACUAACUUUUUGCUUUUAUACAAAAAACAUGCCAUUUCUCCAUUUUGGUGAAAAGUGGGCCAUUAGCUAAACCACAACCUUCCUGUCCAAAGACCUUCAUGAACUAAUGAAACUAUAUCUGACAGUUUGGGGAGGAAUUCAUUCUAACGGGUGAAAAUGAACUGGGUCUUUUCUGUGUAUGUGCCGGUCUUUAAGCAUAAAUGUAAAUAUAUAAAAUAUACUAAUAAUGCAUAUAGUCUCUGGUUAUCGGUGAUACUUCCCAUUCUGCACAAUUGUGACCUUUGACCCCUUGCACGUGGUCUUAAAUGUCCACAUUCUGGAUGACAUCCUGCCAGACUUUGUUGGUAUUUCACUGUUUGAUCUAGCAUGUGACUGUUUUCCCCCCAUCACUUGUCCCAUGUUAGCUGGCCCACUAUGCAGUUAAAUGGAAAGGUUUUUCCCCAGCACUUGUCCCAUGUUGGCUGGCCUACUAUGCAGUUAAAUGGAAAGGUUUCUCCCCAGCACUUGUCCCAUGUUGGCUGGCCCACUAUGCA
rnacentral:lncRNA from 1 species